rnacentral:rRNA from 1 species
ACAGCAGUAGCCGCGGUAAUACAGAGGGUGCGAGCGUUAAUCGGAUUUACUGGGCGUAAAGCGUGCGUAGGCGGCUUUUUAAGUCGGAUGUGAAAUACCUGAGCUUAACUUAGGAAUUGCAUUCGAUACUGGGAAGCUAGAGUAUGGGAGAGGAUGGUAGAAUUCCAGGUGUAGCGGUGAAAUGCGUAGAGAUCUGGAGGAAUACCGAUGGCGAAGGCAGCCAUCUGGCCUAAUACUGACGCUGAGGUACGAAAGCAUGGGGAGCAAACAGGAUUAGAUACCCCCGUAGUCCCUGUCUCUUAUAC